CUUCAUUCCAUCUGAGGAAAGAACAGAAAGAUGAUGAAUCAGAUGAUUUUACUGUAAAAAGAGAAUAUUUGGAGAUGAGAUGGAAGAGACACAAGAUUCAGGAUUCUAGAGAUAAUAAAGCAGUUGCUGGACUGUCAACUUCUAAAUUGCGGCAAAGCAGUCAUCUGAAAAAAGACGAACGUUUCAGAAGUGCUCUUGUUAACAUUAUAUUGCAGCAAGACCUAACUGAGGAGCAGCUUCCAUCCCUUGAUGGAACCCAGCCUCCAAGAGCAGAUUCUUCUACACCAGUAGAGAAAGAUAUUUUGGUAGUCAAAGACGCUUUUCUAGAAUAUUAAAUGAAAUACAAAGCCAGUUAUUUAUUGUAAAUACAGACAAGAU
rnacentral:lncRNA from 1 species